CUCAGGAUGAACGCUGGCGGCGUGCCUAAUACAUGCAAGUCGAACGAGGUAGCAAUACCGAGUGGCGAAACGGGUGAGUAACACGUAGGUAACCUGCCCUUAAGCUUGGGAUACCCAGAGGAAACUUUGGCUAAUACCGGAUAACAACAGAGAAGGCAUCUUCUUUGCUUGAAAGGCCCCUUCAAGGGUCACUUAAGGAUGGACCUGCGGCGCAUUAGCUAGUUGGUGAGAUAACAGCCCACCAAGGCGAGGAUGCGUAGCCGAACUGAGAGGUUGAUCGGCCACAUUGGAACUGAGACACGGUCCAAACUCCUACGGGAGGCAGCAGUAAGGAGUUUUCGGCAAUGGGGGAAACCCUGACCGAGCAACGCCGCGUGAGCGAUGACGGUCCUUUGGAAUUGUAAAGCUCUGUUGUAAGCCAUGAAUGACAGCUUGAGGAAAUGCAAGUUGUUUGACGACAGCUUACCAGAAAGCCACGGCUAACUACGUGCCAGCCGCUGC
rnacentral:rRNA from 1 species